UACGUAGGUGACGAGCGUUGUCCGGAUUUACUGGGCGUAAAGAGCGCGCAGGCGGUCGUUCAAGUCGCGUGUGAAAGCCCCCGGCUCAACUGGGGAGGGUCACGCGAUACUGACCGACUCGAAGGCAGGAGAGGGAAGUGGAAUUCCCGGUGUAGUGGUGAAUGCGUAGAUAUCGGGAGGAACACCAGUGGCGAAGGCGACUUCCUGGCCUGUUCUUGACGCUGAGGCGCGAAAGCUAGGGGAGCAAACGGG
rnacentral:rRNA from 1 species